GGAAAAGAAACUAACAAGGAUUCCCCUAGUAACUGCGAGUGAACAGGGAUUAGCCCAGCACCGAAGCCUGUGGUUAUUUGACUGCAAGGCAAUGUGGUGUUUAGGUUUGUUCUUGGCAUUACUGCUCUGCCCCAAGUCCAGCAAUGAGUACGGCAUACCGUUCUGGCCCAUAGAGGGUGAAAGGCCCGUGGGGGUAGAGACCAAGCAUGACAGUUUUGUCCAGAGCUUACCUUGGAGUCGGGUUGUUUGAGAAUGCAGCCCAAAGUGGGUGGUAAACUCCAUCCAAGGCUAAAUACUUGCACGAGUCCGAUAGUAAACAAGUACCGUGAGGGAAAGUUGAAAAGUACUUUGAAGAGAGAGUAAACAGUGCGUGAAACCGCUCAGAGGUAAACGGGUGGAGUUGAACUGCGAUCCUUGGGAAUUCAGCUGAUGAGCAUGAUUUGUGCUUGGGCAUAUUGACCGCCCUUCAGUGUCUGCUUAGCUGCGGGUGCCUGCCUCUGGUGGGUAUGUGUGGUGCGCUUAUCAUGUGCCGCACGCAUUGGAGGGUGUAUGAGUCUGCUUGUCGGUGCACUUUCUCAGGGUGUUCACCACGACCGGCACUGCUGUCUGUCUGCUUUGGUCAAACUGAUCAGGUCUGAUUAACGUUGGGCUUGGUUGGGUUGGCAGGUGACUCACUGGUCCAUUCUGUGGGCUAUGAGUGUUACUAGCCGGCUUUAGUGGAUCUGUACGGUGUGUCGGAGACGGCGGCUUUGCAUAUGCGCUCUGUCCUUCAGGCGUGGUUGAGUCUGGUCGACUUGUUGCUAGUUUCGGCUGGUCAGUUGAUGGCUUGAUCAUGUUCAGUUGGCAGUGGUGUGUGUGUCUUAGUUUGGGCCAAUAGUCUGUGGUGUUGUGGUAGACUAUCCACCUGACCCGUCUUGAAACACGGACCAAGGAGUUUAACAUGUGCGCGAGUCAUUGGGCUUUACGAAACCCAAAGGCGCAGUGAAGGUAAAGGUUUGGCUUGUCCAGGCUGAGGUGAGAUCCUGUUGUUUUGGUCAUUCAUUCCAAGCUGCGAGCAGCAGGCGCAUCACCGGCCCGUCCCAUGACGUAGACAUGUGGCCUUGUGCCAUGUGCACCGUCGGGGCGGAGCAAGAGCGUACAUGUUGAGACCCGAAAGAUGGUGAACUAUGCUUGCGAAGGUUGAAGCCAGAGGAAACUCUGGUGGAGGACCGUAGCGAUUCUGACGUGCAAAUCGAUCGUAUAACGUGAGUAUAGGGGCGAAAGACUAAUCGAACCAUCUAGUAGCUGGUUCCCUCCGAAGUUUCCCUCAGGAUAGCUGGCAUUCUGAGAUAUAAACAGUUUUAUCCGGUAAAGCGAAUGAUUAGAGGCAUUGGGGAGAAAACAUCCUCAACCUAUUCUCAAACUUUAAAUGGGUGAGAAGCUUAACUCGCUUAAAUGGAGUUUUGCAUUGAAUGUGAGUGCCAAGUGGGCCAUUUUUGGUAAGCAGAACUGGCGCUGUGGGAUGAACCAAACGUGCGGUUAAGGUGCCUAACGCGACGCUCAUGAGAUACCACAAAAGGUGUUGGUUGGUCCAGACAGCAGGACGGUG
rnacentral:rRNA from 1 species